UACGGAAGAUGCGAGCGUUAUCCGGAUUUAUUGGGUUUAAAGGGAGCGUAGGCGGGCGAUUAAGUCAGCGGUAAAAUAGUGUGGCUCAACCAUGCUCUGCCGUUGAUACUGGUUGCCUUGAGUGCACACAAGGAAGAUGGAAUUCGUGGUGUAGCGGUGAAAUGCUUAGAUAUCACGAAGAACUCCGAUUGUGAAGGCAGUCUUCUGGGGUGUUACUGACGCUGAGGCUCGAAAGUGCGGGUAUCAAACAGG
rnacentral:rRNA from 1 species